rnacentral:rRNA from 1 species
UACGUAGGGGGCUAGCGUUGUCCGGAUUUAUUGGGCGUAAAGAGCGUGUAGGCGGCCAUGUAGGUCCGGUGUGAAAACUCGAGGCUUAACCUCGAGAUGUCAUCGGAAACCAUUUGGCUAGAGUCCGGAAGAGGAGAGUGGAAUUCCUGGUGUAGCGGUGAAAUGCGCAGAUAUCAGGAGGAACACCGAUGGCGAAGGCAGGUCUCUGGGCAUUAACUGACGCUGAGGAGCGAAAGCGUGGGGAGCGAACAGG